GGAAGCACUUCUCGAAAACAACCUCGAUACAUCCAGACAAAUAUAAAGAAGCGCACUUGCACAGAGGAAGAUAUCAAGGUACAACAUCAGCGUCUUCCAUCACUUGCUUCUCUGGUGAGCAUACAGAAAAUACUGAACAUGUUAAGGGGAAAAACCCAGGAUAUUUAUUGACUUCUUGAAAUGGAUAGACAACCAAAGACAGUACAGAUGUUUCCAACCCAGAUAACAUGAGAACCGGUUUCCAGGAGACAGACCCUGUUGAUGAAUGAAACAGAGCCACCCAGGACAAGGGGCAAUGUUGAACAGCCCAGACAACGCCGAGCUUCUCUUAUGUGCCAACAAAGAUUACCACAGGAAGGCUCCCUGGGCAGAUGUGCUUCUGCCCGUUCGUGCAACGAUUGAUAUGCAGGCUACACCAGAUCCCAGCAUCUCUCUGUGUGGUCUGGUUACACAGGCUGAAGCACAAUGUUCACAUAAUAAGGAGAAUCCAGUUACCACUAAAAGACAAUAA